rnacentral:rRNA from 1 species
CCUACGGGAGGCAGCAGUAGGGAAUCUUCCACAAUGGGCGAAAGCCUGAUGGAGCAACGCCGCGUGGGUGAAGAAGGUCUUCGGAGCGUAAAACCCUUUUGUUAGAGAAGCAAGUGCGUGAGAGUAACUGUUCACGGUUCGACGGUAUCUAACCAGAAAGCUACGGCUAACUACGUGCCAGCAGCCGCGGUAAUACGUAGGUGGCAAGCGUUAUCCGGAUUUAUUGGGCGUAAAGGGAACGCAGGCGGUCUUUUAAGUAUGAUGUGAAAGCCUUCGGCUUAACCGGAGUAGUGCAUUGGAAGCUGGGGGACUUGAGUGCAGAAGAGGUGAGUGGAACUCGAUGUGUAGCGGUGAAAUGCGUAGAUAUAUGGAAGAACACCAGUGGCGAAAGCGGCUCUCUGGUCUGUAACUGACGCUGAGGUUCGAAAGCGUGGGUAGCAAACAGGAUUAGAUACCCGGGUAGUC